rnacentral:rRNA from 1 species
GUAGCAAUACAUCACCGGCGGACGGGUGCGUAACGCGUGGGAAUAUACCUAUUGGUUCGGAACAACUGAGGGAAACUUCAGCUAAUACCGAAUGUGCCCUAACGGGGAAAGAUUUAUCGCCAAUGGAUUAGCCCGCGUUCGAUUAGCUAGUUGGUGGGGUAACGGCCCACCAAGGCGAUGAUCGAUAGCUGUUCUGAGAGGAAGAUCAGCCACACUGGGACUGAGACACGGCCCAGACUCCUACGGGAGGCAGCAGUUGGGAAUCUUGGACAAUGGGGGAAACCCUGAUCCAGCCAUGCCGCGUGAGUGAUGAAGGCCUUCGGG